CGCGUAGGCGGUUUUUUAAGUCAGAGGUGAAAGCCCGGGGCUCAACCCCGGAAUAGCCUUUGAAACUGGAAAACUUGAAUCUUGGAGAGGUCAGUGGAAUUCCGAGUGUAGAGGUGAAAUUCGUAGAUAUUCGGAAGAACACCAGUGGCGAAGGCGACUGACUGGACAAGUAUUGACGCUGAGGUGCGAAAGCGUGGGGAGCAAACA
rnacentral:rRNA from 1 species